GUUAGGGUGACCGGUCGUGGGGAGGAAGCGUGGAGCGAAACCGCGAGCCCGAUGAACAAGAACCGGAUAGAAGGCGUUGUCGAUCAGGGCGAGCGGGCAAACAACCGCAAAGCUGUUGUGACCAAGGGGCGAUGACGUAGAUCCGGCGGUUGUGCCGUGAAGGAAGCCGAC
rnacentral:ncRNA from 2 species